rnacentral:rRNA from 1 species
GACGAACGCUGGCGGCGUGCCUAAUACAUGCAAGUUGAGCGCUGAAGGUUGGUACUUGUCCCAACUGGCUGAGCAGCGAACGGGUGAGUAACGCGUGGGGAAUCUGCCUUUGAGCGGGGGACAACAUUUGGAAACGAAUGCUAAUACCGCAUAAAAACUUUAAACACAAGUUUUAAGUUUGAAAGAUGCAAUUGCAUCACUCAAAGAUGAUCCCGCGUUGUAUUAGCUAGUUGGUGAGGUAAAGGCUCACCAAGGCGAUGAUACAUAGCCGACCUGAGAGGGUGAUCGGCCACAUUGGGACUGAGACACGGCCCAAACUCCUACGGGAGGCAGCAGUAGGGAAUCUUCGGCAAUGGACGAAAGUCUGACCGAGCAACGCCGCGUGAGUGAAGAAGGUGUUCGGAUCGUAAAACUCUGUUGGUAGAGAAGAACGUUGGUGAGAGUGGAAAGCUCAUCAAGUGACGGUAACUACCCAGAAAGGGACGGCUAACUACGUG